rnacentral:rRNA from 1 species
UACGUAGGUGGCGAGCGUUGUCCGGAUUUACUGGGCGUAAAGAGCGCGCAGGCGGUCGGAUCAGUCGAAUGUGAAAGCCCCCAGCUCAACUGGGGAAGUGCCUUUGAUACUGGUUGUCUCGAGGGAGGUAGGGGCGUGCGGAACUUCCGGUGGAGCGGUGAAAUGCGUAGAUAUCGGAAGGAACGCCGGUGGCGAAAGCGGCGCGCUGGACCUCUUCUGACGCUGAGGCGCGAAAGCUAGGGGAGCAAGCGGG